rnacentral:hammerhead_ribozyme from 1 species
AUCCAGCUGACGAGUCCCAAAUAGGAUGAAAUGUACAUCAUUAGAU